AUAAUUAUUUUAAAUCUAUUUAUCUUGCCUGAUUUUUCAUCCAAUAUUUAUGUUAAAAUCCUAAAAGAUGAUGUUUUGGUCUUGCCUCUAGAUAUAUAAGUGGAGUGUGAAAGAGUUGUAUAAAAUGCUUCAUAGGUGCAAUGAGCAACUUCAGCAGUUCAGCCAUAUAA